rnacentral:rRNA from 1 species
AGAGUUUGAUCAUGGCUCAGGAUGAACGCUGGCGGCGUGGAUAAGGCAUGCAAGUCAAGCGGGCUCGUAGCAAUACGAGUACCGCGGCGAACGAGUUAGUAACAUCUUGGUACGUACCCUGGAGACGGGCAUAACCAGUCGAAAGAUUGGCUAAUUCCCGAUAGUCUCGUAAGAGUAAAGGCGCAAGCCACUCUGGGAGCGGCCUAGAUCCUAUCAGCUUGUUGGCGGGGUAACGGCCCACCAAGGCUAUGACGGGUAGGGGGUGUGAGAGCACGGCCCUCAACGACGAAACUGAGAUACGGUUCGUACACCUACGGGUGGCAGCAGUCGAGAAUAUUCGACAAUGGGCGAAAGCCUGAUCGAGCGACGCCGCGUGCGGGAAGAAGCAGCUUUGCUGUGUAAACCGCUUUUGCGUGGGAAGAACUUUGACGGUACCACGAGAAUAAGGGGUUGCUAACCUCGUGCCAGCAGCAGCGGUAAUACGAGGACCCCGAGCGUUAUCCGGAAUUACUGGGCGUAAAGAGUGAGUAUCCGGUUGUGUUAGUCCACGGUUAAAUCCUACUGCUCAACGGUGGGACCGCGGUGGAAACGGCACGACUAGAGCGGGUAAGAGGCAAGCGGAACGUGCAGUGUAGGGGUGAAAUCCAUUGAUAUUGCACGGAACACCAAAAGCGAAAGCAGCUUGCUAGUGCUCUGCUGACGGUCAAUCACGAAAGCGUGGGGAUCAAAAAGGAUUAGAUACCCUAGUAGUCC